CGGCACGCCUAACACAUGCAAGUCGAACGAAGUAGCAAUACUUAGUGGCAGACGGGUGAGUAACAUGUGGGUAUCUACCCUUUGGCCUGGAAUAACACGAGGAAACUUGUGCUAAUACCGGAUAAGUCUUUACGGAGAAAGCUUUAUGCACCAUUGGAUGAGCCCGCACUUGAUUAGUUUGUUGGUAGGGUAAUGGCCUACCAAGACUAUGAUCAAUAGCUGAUUUGAGAGGAUGAUCAGCCACAUUGGGACUGAGACACGGCCCAAACUCCUACGGGAGGCAGCAGUGGGGAAUCUUGCACAAUGGAGGAAACUCUGAUGCAGCGAUGCCGCGUGAGUGAAGAAGGCCCUUGGGUUGUAAAGCUCUUUCGUCGGGGAAGAAAAUGACUGUACCCGAAUAAGAAGGUCCGG
rnacentral:rRNA from 1 species